CCUACGGGAGGCAGCAGUGAGGAAUAUUGGUCAAUGGCCGCAAGCCUGAACCAGCCAAGCCGCGUGAGGGAGGAAGGCUCAAUGCGUCGCAGACCUCUUUUGCCGGGGGACAAAAUGCGGGACUCGUCCGGUCCUGUGUGUACCCUGUGAAAAAGCAUCGGCUAACUCCGUGCCAGCAGCCGCGGUAAUACGGAGGAUGCGAGCGUUAUCCGGAUUCAUUGGGUUUAAAGGGUGCGCGGGCGGGCCUUUAAGCCGGCGGUGAAAUCCCGGGGCUCAACCCCGCCGUGCCGUCGGAACUGGGGGCCUUGAGUUUGCGAGAAGUAGGCGGAAUGCGCGGUGUAGCGGUGAAAUGCAUAGAUAUCGCGCAGAACCCCGAUUGCGAAGGCAGCGUACCGGGGCAAGACUGACGCUGAGGCACGAAAGCGUGGGGAUCGAACAGGAUUAGAUACCCCUGUAGUC
rnacentral:rRNA from 1 species